UUUCUGGUGUGCAUCCCCAGUUUUUCUAUCUUUCCGGACCAUCAAGUGCUCGUGUGGCUUUCUUAAUAGUACCGAUAUGUCCUCAAUUGCCAGUGUUUUGUCUAGUGUGACGCCCAGGGACCUGGGGACAUUUGGGUGGAAUUUGUGGAACGAUGCCCCAACAAACGAGAGGCGGAUUUGGAGUGGUACAUACGUCUUCAAAAGUACAACAGGUCAUACGCCACUGUUUCUUUUAAUGCGACAUUGCCUUAUGAAUUCAGUGAUGAUUUGUCGAUUUCGAUUGCUGUUUUUUCAAAAUCUAAUGGUGCUUGGAAACCUAACUUUUACAACUUCAACUUUAAAGGGCUCUGCCAUAGCCUGAGGGAGUAUAAUUGGUAUAUAUUUAGCGAUAUAGCGAAAUCUAUGAAUGCAAAGCCACAGUGUCCUCUGCCGAAGGGGUUGUACAAACUGACCAAUUUGGAUUACAUGAGCAAAGUUUCGAAGUUGCCAAGUAGCGUGUUGCCAUACGGUAAAUUCAAAGCUGAAGGCAAUAUUUUCAACAAACACCACAAACUUGCCGUUUGUUUCGAUGUUUACUUUGCAAUAUCACCAAAAAAAAUAACCAGGAAGAACCGUCUGUAACUUUGCGCCAUGUGAGAUUUAAUGAACCAACUGUUCAAUAUAGAUAAUACUUAAAAAUUCUUGGUAAUCGUAUGAAAUUAA
rnacentral:misc_RNA from 1 species